rnacentral:rRNA from 1 species
GUGAGGAAUUUUCCGCAAUGGGCGAAAGCCUGACGGAGCAAUGCCGCGUGAAGGAUGAAGGCCUAUGGGUUGUAAACUUCUUUUCUCAGAAAAGAAUUAUGACGGUAUCUGAGGAAUAAGCAUCGGCUAACUCUGUGACAGCAGCCGCGGUAAGACAGAGGAUGCAAGCGUUAUCCGGAAUGAUUGGGCGUAAAGCGUCUGUAGGUUGUUUAAAAAGUAUUCUGUCAAAGAUUAGGGCUUAACCCUAGAUAGGCAGAAUAAACUUUUAAGCUAGAGUUUGGUAGAGGCAGAGGGAAUUCCCGGUGGAGCGGUGAAAUGCGUAGAUAUCGGGAGGAACACCAAAGGCGAAGGCACUCUGCUGGGCCAAUACUAACACUGAGAGACGAAAGCGAGGGGAGCAAAUGGGAUUAGAUACCCGGGUAGUCC